rnacentral:rRNA from 1 species
CAGCCGCCACGGUAAUACGGAGGGGGCUAGCGUUGUUCGGAAUUACUGGGCGUAAAGCGCACGCAGGCGGUUUGUUAAGUCAGAUGUGAAAUCCCCGAGCUUAACUUGGGAACUGCAUUUGAAACUGGCAAGCUAGAGUCUUGUAGAGGGGGGUAGAAUUCCAGGUGUAGCGGUGAAAUGCGUAGAGAUCUGGAGGAAUACCGGUGGCGAAGGCGGCCCCCUGGACAAAGACUGACGCUCAGGUGCGAAAGCGUGGGGAGCAAACAGGAUUAGAUACCCGGGUAGUCCCUGUCUCUUAUAC